rnacentral:rRNA from 1 species
GACGAACGCUGGCGGCGUGCCUAAUACAUGCAAGUAGACCGCAGUUGCGAACGGGUGAGUAACGCGUAGGUAACUGCCUCAUAGCGGGGGAUAACUAUUGGAAACGAUAGCUAAUACCGCAUACUGUGAGAUGGACCUGCGUUGUAUUGGCUAGUUGGUGAGGUAAAGGCUCACCAAGGCGACGAUACAUAGCCGACCUGAGAGGGUGAACGGACACGCUGAGACUGAGGAGCGGCCCAAAAUCCUAGGAGAGGCAGCAGUAGGGGAACUGCGGCAAUGGACGGAAGACUGAACGAGCAACGCCGCGUGAGGGAAGAAGGUUUUCAGGUCGUAAAGCUCUGUUGAUGGAGAAGCGGUAGCUGACCAGAAAGGGACGGCUAACUACGUGCCAGCAGCCGCGGUAAUAC